AUCCGGGUUGCGGACAGUGUCUGGUGGGUAGUUUGACUGGGGCGGUCUCCUCCCAAAGAGUAACGGAGGAGCACGAAGGUUGGCUAAUCCUGGUCGGACAUCAGGAGGUUAGUGCAAUGGCAUAAGCCAGCUUGACUGCGAGCGUGACGGCGCGAGCAGGUGCGAAAGCAGGUCAUAGUGAUCCGGUGGUUCUGAAUGGAAGGGCCAUCGCUCAACGGAUAAAAGGUACUCCGGGGAUAACAGGCUGAUACCGCCCAAGAGUUCAUAUCGACGGCGGUGUUUGGCACCUCGAUGUCGGCUCAUCACAUCCUGGGGCUGAAGUAGGUCCCAAGGGUAUGGCUGUUCGCCAUUUAAAGUGGUACGCGAGCUGGGUUUAGAACGUCGUGAGACAGUUCGGUCCCUAUCUGCCGUGGGCGCUGGAGAAUUGAGGGGGGCUGCUCCUAGUACGAGAGGACCGGAGUGGACGCAUCACUGGUGUUCGGGUUGUCAUGCCAAUGGCA
rnacentral:rRNA from 1 species